GACUCCAUCGUUCAAUGGCAGGACAGCGCACUGUCGAUGCGCCAACAGGGGUUCGAUUCCCCUUGGAGUCGCCA
rnacentral:tRNA from 1 species